UCUGGGGGCCUCUGGAUGUCUGGAGUUUUGAUCUCCUCCACACCUGCUUCACGCCCUGGAGGACGGGGCUGUGGCCCCCCCACACCCUCUAGCAGAUUAUUACAUGAAGGAACCUUUUAAAAAACAAAAAACAAGCGCGUCCAUGCUCACAGGUGUACACACGGGUGAUCACACCCACAAACUACACCCUUUUUGGCUCCUACCUCAAAGCACACUGUGUUCUGUUGAUCUUAUGUGCUGCACAAUAAUGUUUAACAUUUAGUAUUUACUGUCAUAUUCCCAUAUAUCAUUGUGAUGUUGUUUAUUCUAUUACUCUUGUUCUCUUCUGCUUGUUUUCUUUUUUCUUUCUCAGCAGGUGAUCCAGGUGAUUGAUAUAUGCAUUUUUUUUUUCUCUGCCUGUUCUGUUGGUUUUUGUCUUUUGCCCUUCUCCCCCGUCCCUCUUCUCAGCUGUUUCUCUUUCCCUCUUUCUUUCUCCCCUUCUUUCCCCCAGUCAAGUCUGUCCCGUAUUCAGUAAGUGAAAAUAAAAUAAACAAUAAAAGGUGAAUCAAAUGGACCAUUAUGGCAAGGCUGGGAUGGUCAAUUUGGUAAAGUAAAUCCGUUGGGCAUCUUUCUUUGCCUUUAGACAACAAUUCUGAUGGCAAAAGAGCCAAACGGGACAGGCAAAAAAAAAAAAAAAAAAAAAAAAAAAAAAAAAAAAAAGGAAUUAGGGCAGGAUCCCCUGGAGUCUUGCUGCUGGUGGAGGUGAAGAAAAAAUGGCAGCUCAGAUGAAGAAGAUGCAGAGGAGAUGGGUUACAUGAAAGAAUGCUGCAAGGGGAAUGAAAAAUGAGCUUUGCGAUUUAAAGUAUGCAGAGUUGAGGCUGAUUGGGUUCAAGAAGGUGGGCAGAAAUGACUGGACUUAGCAUUUAUGUAGGCAUUGAGUUGUUUAGUGUUGGAAAGUGGAAGUGAUGUGUUAUGGGCCCCAGGAAUGGUGCCACAAUAACAAAGAAGAAAUCCCUGCAAAUACAGGUAAAGUUCAGGAGCAAUGAAGACAGUGCACUCGGUUUGCCUCUCAGAUUGCAUCUCUUAUUCAAGUUUCAAAAAACAUGAACAGCAUUAACAAUAUCCAUGUGUGCAUGACUCUUCCAGUCACAGUGUCCAUAUCUGUCCAUUUUUCCAAAGUCACAAGUAGAAAAAUGAAUGGAUUCACACUCUACACUUUCCACUAUUUUACAUGUGCUUCAUGUGAUCGCUCAGUCAAAGCAAAACAAAAGUAC
ensembl:lncRNA